rnacentral:lncRNA from 1 species
UGAACCAUAAUAUAUUAACACCAAUUUCUAAAGCUCACUAUUGCUGAAGAAGCUUAUGUUACCAAGACAAAGAAAAUUGUAGAGGAGAAUGAGUCAUGGCAAUGGCAAACAACCACCUCUGAUGUCCUGAACUCUGUCAUCAAUAAAAUUCAGCAGCUUAAGGUUCAGCUUGAAUUUAUGGCAAACUUUGAGAAAGCACCAGCUUAACUUGCAGAAUCAUUGGACUUGGAACUCUUGAACUUGAUGCAAAACCUGGCAGAACAUCUUUUGGAGAACAUGAAAAAAUCCAUCUCAUAGAUAGUUAUGAAUCCUCUCAAUCCAACAAAUCAGUCAAUGAGACUUUGAGGCAACUUGAGGUUUCAAAAAGAACUUUAGAGAUCCUAAGGGAUGAUGCUGCAAAAUCUGUACAUAGCUCAAAAAUCCAUAGGUGGACACAGUGCUGGAAUGAAACGUAAUUCAAAGAGAAAAUAGUCACUCAUGAAUUUCAGAGCAGAAUCUCAAGAGAUGGCAAUAAGAAGGUGUAAGUCAGAAGUUUCAGUUACACAAUCAACCUAAAUGACGCUAUUGAUGAGCAAUUUUAAUUGGAAUAAUCAGUAAAUCAAAUCAAUCAUCAGAGAAUAUCUUCGGUCCUAGCAGUUGUAGUAAGAAGUACAAACCAGAAGUCAUGGCCAUUGGCAUCUCCUAUUUCAGUUAUAGAUGCAAUAAUAAGCAUGAAUGAGCAAUCAUUAGGCAGUUUCAAAACACAAGGGUCAGGAUUAUUCCUGACUUUCAAUUAGCAACCCAAAGAGCACCACUACUCAGCUAUAAAAGGAGAGGCAUUACAACAAGAAAAAGGGGGUUCACCACACAAAAAUUAAAGAAAACAGAGCAUAUAUGCAGUGCUAUAAGGAUAAGCAACACAGUGAGAGACGCCAAAUCCCCUCUCAAAAUUCUAACACUACAGCACCUUCUUAGUCAGAAUUUCUCAAUCAACCCCACUAAAACUUGUCAUCCUCUCUUUAUCCUACCAUCCCUAAAAAUUCCACGAUAUCAUACAUAUAUCAUAUACACCACACUCAGCAAAAAGAGAGGAGAACACGUACAUAUCACACAUACAUUGUGAAAUCAACAUAUAUUCACCAUACAUACAGCUAUCAAAAAUUAGGAAAUAUCACAUAUAUGUGUAUCGCAAUUCAAAGAACGUCAUACAAGUGCAAAGAAAAACAACGAGGAACAGAAGGCUGUCAUUCAAAGAGCAAAUGAAAAAAGGUAUACUCGCAGGUACAGUAUUCAUCUUAUUCAUGUGAUUGCGAAUUGAAAUUUUUUUUAACAUAUUUACAUAUUUAUUAAACGCACCAGCGGACAUUUUGUCAAGAUUUCAUAAUAAGGCACCCUGAACAUAACUCCCUAUAUGCAAUGAAUAUGGAUGAUUUGGAUUACAUUAUGUUUCUGGUUUAGCUUGAUAAACAUAAAAAACAUUCUAAAUUCUUAUAUUCUGUUAAUCAAAGAAGAUAAGAAUAAGAAAACCGAGAAUCAACAUAAGGUAAUGAAUUGACAAAAUUUAACGAAGUAAUAGUUACGCGGAUCGGAGUUAGCCAUUAGUGGCUCUAUCAUUGUUACACCAAACAAACCAUAACUCACCAUCCUCUUUACCCAUCUCGAAUUAGAUGUACUACGGGUUAAGAACUUCAUGAACCAUCCUCAAACAUAGCUUUCCCUUACUGAGGCUAACCACUGUUUAAAAGGUAUGGAUGAAUCCCUAC